UUAAGUUAUUAAGGGCGCACGGUGGAUGCCUUGGCACUAGAAGCCGAUGAAGGACGUUACUAACGACGAUAUGCUUUGGGGAGCUGUAAGUAAGCUUUGAUCCAGAGAUUUCCGAAUGGGGAAACCCAGCAUGAGUUAUGUCAUGUUAUCGAUAUGUGAAUACAUAGCAUAUCAGAAGGCACACCCGGAGAACUGAAACAUCUUAGUACCCGGAGGAAGAGAAAGAAAAUUCGAUUCCCUUAGUAGCGGCGAGCGAAACGGGAAGAGCCCAAACCAACAAGCUUGCUUGUUGGGGUUGUAGGACACUCUAUACGGAGUUACAAAGGACGACAUUAGACGAAUCAUCUGGAAAGAUGAAUCAAAGAAGGUAAUAAUCCUGUAGUCGAAAAUGUUGUCUCUCUUGAGUGGAUCCUGAGUACGACGGAGCACGUGAAAUUCCGUCGGAAUCUGGGAGGACCAUCUCCUAAGGCUAAAUACUCUCUAGUGACCGAUAGUGAACCAGUACCGUGAGGGAAAGGUGAAAAGCACCCCGGAAGGGGAGUGAAAUAGAACCUGAAACCGUGUGCUUACAAGUAGUCAGAGCCCGUUAAUGGGUGAUGGCGUGCCUUUUGUAGAAUGAACCGGCGAGUUACGAUUUGAUGCAAGGUUAAGCAGUAAAUGUGGAGCCGUAGCGAAAGCGAGUCUGAAUAGGGCGUUUAGUAUUUGGUCGUAGACCCGAAACCAGGUGAUCUACCCUUGGUCAGGUUGAAGUUCAGGUAACACUGAAUGGAGGACCGAACCGACUUACGUUGAAAAGUGAGCGGAUGAACUGAGGGUAGCGGAGAAAUUCCAAUCGAACCUGGAGAUAGCUGGUUCUCUCCGAAAUAGCUUUAGGGCUAGCCUCAAGUGAUGAUUAUUGGAGGUAGAGCACUGUUUGGACGAGGGGCCCCUCUCGGGUUACCGAAUUCAGACAAACUCCGAAUGCCAAUUAAUUUAACUUGGGAGUCAGAACAUGGGUGAUAAGGUCCGUGUUCGAAAGGGAAACAGCCCAGACCACCAGCUAAGGUCCCAAAAUAUAUGUUAAGUGGAAAAGGAUGUGGCGUUGCCCAGACUACUAGGAUGUUGGCUUAGAAGCAGCCAUCAUUUAAAGAGUGCGUAAUAGCUCACUAGUCGAGUGACACUGCGCCGAAAAUGUACCGGGGCU
rnacentral:rRNA from 1 species